rnacentral:rRNA from 1 species
CACGUAGGGCGCAAGCGUUGUCCGGAAUUAUUGGGCGUAAAGAGCUCGUAGGUGGUUUGUUACGUCUGCUGUGAAAACCUAGGGCUUAACCCUGGGCUUGCAGUGGAUACGGGCAGACUAGAGGUAGGUAGGGGAGAAUGGAAUUCCUGGUGUAGCGGUGAAAUGCGCAGAUAUCAGGAGGAACACCGGUGGCGAAGGCGACUUACUGGACACAUAUUGACGCUGAGGUGCGAAAGCGUGGGGAGCAAACAGG